rnacentral:lncRNA from 1 species
AAUGAGGAUCCACUGUACAUAUGUGGCGACUCCCCAACUGUCAGAGGUCGCCCCUCUUUCAGCCUUGUGCUGCCCUCUUCCGGUGUGGACAACACCACGACACUUCUCGGCUGAACAUCAUCAUGAAGAGCAUGUCUAUUUGAUUGUCGUGAUUUCUUCCUUGUGUAUCGACUAUUGUUGUAUCGCUAUAUCAGCAAUGUACAUAUUCGUCAUCUGUAUAUAGUAUUAAUUAUGAAGAAUUAAAUUAUAAUGUGGAUGCUAUUGAAUUGAAUUUUGUUUUCCAAUUCGGACUUACACGAACUCCAUAC